GAUGAACGCUGGCGGCGUGCCUAAUACAUGCAAGUCGAGCGAACAGACGAGGAGCUUGCUCCUCUGAUGUUAGCGGCGGACGGGUGAGUAACACGUGGAUAACCUACCUAUAAGACUGGGAUAACUUCGGGAAACCGGAGCUAAUACCGGAUAACAUGUUGAACCGCAUGGUUCAACAGUGAAAGACGGUCUUGCUGUCACUUAUAGAUGGAUCCGCGCCGCAUUAGCUAGUUGGUAAGGUAACGGCUUACCAAGGCAACGAUGCGUAGCCGACCUGAGAGGGUGAUCGGCCACACUGGAACUGAGACACGGUCCAGACUCCUACGGGGGGCAGCAGUAGGGAAUCUUCCGCAAUGGGCGAAAGCCUGACGGAGCAACGCCGCGUGAGUGAAGAAGGUCUUCGGAUCGGAAAACUCUGUUAUUAGGGAAGAACAAAUGUGUAAGUAACUAUGCACAUCUUGACGGUACCGAAUCAGAAAGCCACGGCUAACUACGUG
rnacentral:rRNA from 1 species